rnacentral:rRNA from 1 species
UACAGAGACCACAAGCGUUACUCGGAUUCACUGGGCGUAAAGGGUGCGUAGGCGGUUAGGUGUGUCAGGUGUGAAAUCUCAGAGCUUAACUCUGAGGCUGCGCUUGAAACUACCUGGCUAGAGUUUUGGAGAGGUAAGCGGAAUUUCUGGUGUAGCGGUGAAAUGCAUAGAUAUCAGAAGGAACACCAAUGGCGAAGGCAGCUUACUGGACAAAAACUGACGCUGAGGCACGAAAGUGUGGGUAGCAAAAAGG